UCGCUGUGAAGAUGCAGUGUACCCGCGGCAAGACGGAAAGACCCCGUGAACCUUUACUAUAGCUUGACACUGAACAUUGAGCCUUGAUGUGUAGGAUAGGUGGGAGGCUUUGAAGUGUGGACGCCAGUCUGCAUGGAGCCGACCUUGAAAUACCACCCUUUAAUGUUUGAUGUUCUAACGUGGGCCCCUUACCGGGGUUGCGGACAGUGUCUGGUGGGUAGUUUGACUGGGGCGGUCUCCUCCUAAAGAGUAACGGAGGAGCACGAAGGUUGGCUAAUCCUGGUCGGACAUCAGGAGGUUAGUGCAAUGGCAUAAGCCAGCUUGACUGCGAGCGUGACGGCGCGAGCAGGUGCGAAAGCAGGUCAUAGUGAUCCGGUGGUUCUGAAUGGAAGGGCCAUCGCUCAACGGAUAAAAGGUACUCCGGGGAUAACAGGCUGAUACCGCCCAAGAGUUCAUAUCGACGGCGGUGUUUGGCACCUCGAUGUCGGCUCAUCACAUCCUGGGGCUGAAGUAGGUCCCAAGGGUAUGGCUGUUCGCCAUUUAAAGUGGUACGCGAGCUGGGUUUAGAACGUCGUGAGACAGUUCGGUCCCUAUCUGCCGUGGGCGCUGGAGAACUGAGGGGGGCUGCUCCUAGUACGAGAGGACCGGAGUGGACGCAUCACUGGUGUUCGGGUUGUCAUGCCAAUGGCACUGCCCGGUAGCUAAAUGCGGAAGAGAUAAGUGCUGAAAGCAUCUAAGCACGAAACUUGCCCCGAGAUGAGUUCUCCCUGACUCCUUGAGAGUCCUGAAGGAACGUUGAAGACGACGACGUUGAUAGGCCGGGUGUGUAAGCGCAGCGAUGCGUUGAGCUAACCGGUACUAAUGAACCGUGAGGCUUAACCUU
rnacentral:rRNA from 1 species